GGAGUUAGCCGGUGCUUCUUCUGUGAGUGAUGUCCUUCCUGCCGGCUAUUAACCCGCAGGCCUUCUUCCUCACUGAAAGUGCUUUACAACCCGAAGGCCUUCUUCACACACGCGGCAUGGCUGGAUCAGGGUUGCCCCCAUUGUCCAAUAUUCCCCACUGCUGCCUCCCGUAGGAGUCUGGGCCGUGUCUCAGUCCCAGUGUGGCUGAUCAUCCUCUCAGACCAGCUACGGAUCGUCGCCUUGGUGAGCCGUUACCUCACCAACCAGCUAAUCCGACAUAGGCUCAUCCGAUAGCGCGAGGCCCGAAGGUCCCCCGCUUUCCCCCGUAGGGCGUAUGCGGUAUUAGCCUGGGUUUCCCCAGGUUAUCCCCCACUACCGGGCAGAUUCCUAUGCAUUACUCACCCGUCCGCCGCUCGCCACCAGGGAGCAAGCUCCCCGUGCUGCCGCUCGACUUGCAUGUGUUAGGCCUGCCGCCAGCGUUCAAUCUGAGCCAGGAUCAACACUGACUGAGCGGCG
rnacentral:rRNA from 1 species